UUCUGUACAUCGUCAUCGAGACAUAUUAUUACCACCGCGGCAUAGUUUCGAUAUGUGUAAGCAGUAAGUGAGCUUAUUGCAGUAUGUAUACUGUGUGCUGUGCACGUCUAUCGACGAGUAGCAGGCAGAAAUACUAUACUAAUCUAGCUACGAACAUUUAUAUUAUUACUAGUUUAUCCCAUCGUAUAUACGAGCUCUCUUGCGUCGCGUUCGCAUCAAAUUAAUCGGUUUUUAUUACCAUUAUGAAAAGUUCCAACAUGAAAACAACGUUCCGUAUUUUAUGUCGCACAUUAAAAGGUAUUUGUAUUUAUGAACGUUGUUAAAUCAUCCCCUGAAUCAUCCCUCCCUCCACCCAGCACCGAUCGUCGGCAUUUUGGAAACAAGCUUACGCUGCGUUCUUAUAGCGAUGAAGUUUUCGUCGUUCGCCAACGUUUGAGUUUGAAACUCGCGCCAAUCGUUCUGUGCUCGUUAAAAUCGCGUGUCGUAAACUGGUUGAUUUUAUUGCGGAAAUUCGCGAAUUUUAAGCAAAGUUGUGUGUGAAAUGUGAAUGUAAAAUGUUCGCGAUGUAAUCGAUAUAGCCGUUGAUAAUGCGCUCGUUAUUUAACGCGUCGUCAUCGGUUUGGGGUUUGUUUCUGAUUGGCCAUAGAGAGGAUGAUACCAGAAAUGUAGAAUCACAAAAAUAAUGAAGCCAUAUGGAUAUUAAGCCGGAAUAGAAAAUGAGCUUCGAAUUCCUUGACUUACAAAUACUGGCGGGAUGUAUUACGAUUUUUAUCAUUGUCGUAGGAGUAUUCGGAAACUUACUUACUAUCGUGGCGCUGUCCAAAUAUCCUCGGGUGCGAAAUGUUACCGCUGCUUUUAUUAUAAGUUUAUGCGUAGCUGAUGGAAUAUUUUGUGCGGCAGUGCUUCCUUUUCACGCUAUGAGAUUUUUUCGAAGUAAAAUUUGGCAAAGUAAUCCCUUUCUGUGCAAUGCGAUACCAUUUUUACAAUAUGGCAACGUUGGAAUUUCACUUCUAUUCAUAGCAAUGAUUACGAUUAAUAGGUACGUGAUGAUCGCACAUCAUACCAUGUACAGUAGAAUAUACAAGCCAAUAAAUGUCGUAGCUAUGGUUAUAUUUUGUAUAAUAUUCAGUUUUGGAAUGCAGUUACCUACACUUUUUGGAAUUUGGGGAAAAUACCAGUACCACAGCACAUUAGGGACUUGUUCUAUUAGUGAAGAUGAACGAGGACAUUCGUCGAAAGUCGUACUAUUUGCAAUGGGAUUCGUAGUACCAUGCGUCAUCAUUAUAUGCUGCUACACGCGAAUAUUUUGGGUUGUUCACAGCUCAGAGAUGAAAAUGACACAGCACGCUUUACGCACUUCGAAUAAUAACACAGAUACCGGUAAAGCCAGAGAAACGAAACGUAAACGUAACGAAUGGAGGGUUACGAAAAUGGUGUUGGCCAUCUUCCUAUCAUUUUUAAUUUGCUACUUGCCCAUAACUAUAGUGAAAAUAGUAGAUCGAAAAGUUGAAUGUUUAUCUUGGCAUAUAAUAUCGUACGUGAUGCUGUUCAUGUCGGCCUGCAUAAAUCCAAUAAUAUACGUGAUUAUGAAUAAACAAUACCGUAAAGCGUAUGGAAACGUGCUUAGGUGCAGAGCCGCUCAAUUUUUCACUCCUAGCUCAGGUAAUUCGCUUCCACUGUAACAAAAUAUCUACCUAGCUGCCUGCAGUGCCUGCAAAACAGGAUGUCGUGUUGUUUUACUACUCGUGUACCUAUUUAAAAAAAGAUGUGAUAUAAAAAAUAACUACCCGUAAUCGAAGCCAGAAGACCUGCAGAAGAGCAGCCAAGUAAAACAAUGAUGUCUCAAGUAUCAGUCAGUAUGAUUCCAAUGAACGCGAUUGAUCAAGAUAAACACGCAGUAAUCAAGAAUUAAUCGUUGAUUGAAAAUAUAUAUUAGGCUGAAAAUUAGUACCAUUUUAAAUUAAUUGUUGUACCAUAACUGUGUAAAUAUUCCAUUAUUUUUGGCAUUUAUUUGUACCUGAGUAUUUUGAUAAGUUUUUUAAAAACGUGAAUUGAAUAUCAAUAAUAUGAGUGUCAUUUGUCAAAUUGUCUUCCAAAUUUUGUUUUUAAUUUUUUUUUAUGAACUGACUGAGUGGAGUAAUUAGUUUGGAUGAAUCAGUUUUUAAAUACGACCCUAAUUUUAAAACUUUCAAUUUUUAAAAAUGCAUUUCGAAUACAUCUUCUACAUUAACAUUCCAUAAAUUGAUUAAAUGCAAAGUCCUUGUCAUUUAUUUGGUUUUUUUUUUAGUGAAAUGUUUUUAAUUAGGUAUAUGUAAUUUAUUUAUUUAUGUAUUUACUUAUGGUCAAAUUAUUUUCCUCUUUAUUUAGCUGGUUUUGUUUGAAACCUAUCAGAAACCUUCGAAUUACCACCGUAUUUUUGUAUAAUUUAGUCGAGACGGAUUUUUAUUUUAAUUAAGUAGGAUAUUUUGCGUUGUCUAAAAGUAGAUAUAAUUGAAUUUCAUGUUGUAUUUGUGUUUGUAUUUGCUCGUAAUUAUUUGCAGUACUGGAGCAAGUAGUCUGCUCUUUGCUCAAUAAAAAUCUUCAAUUUGUUCACGA